rnacentral:rRNA from 1 species
CGCGUAGGCGGGUGCUCAAGUCCGGGGUGAAAUCCUCCAGCUCAACUGGAGAACUGCCUCGGAUACUGGGCGUCUCGAGGGUGGCAGGGGUAUGCGGAACUAUCGGUGGAGCGGUGAAAUGCGUUGAUAUCGAUAGGAACUCCGGUGGCGAAGGCGGCAUACUGGUCCACUUCUGACGCUGAGGCGCGAAAGCCAGGGAGCAAACG